rnacentral:lncRNA from 1 species
GCUUCUUCCUUUUCAUUCAGGAAGUGAAGGCCUGCUCAUGAGGUUCUCCCUCUGUCUCACAGGCCAGCACUCUCACAGGGGUCACCUUAGCUGUCAGGGAGAAUAGGAAUGCAAAUAUUUCACAUUUUAGUCUUUCUUUUUGAGGACCGCAGGGGACAAAGAAGAUUAAAAAUGAGUUUUCAGUGAGUCAACCUCCUAUUAGUCAGAAUCCCUAGAUGCAAACAGUAGAAUUCACAGUAUUUAAUUUUAACAGAAAGAUUUUCAAUGUAAUGUUAGAUCACAGGAUUGCUGCCAAGAAUAGAGGACUAAGCUUAUUGAUAACAAAAUCUAAUGAUAUAAGGAGGAUCAUACCAAUAUGGCACAGAACUUUUCUAGCAUAAACAUCAUAGUAGCUACUGUCCCUGGCAGGUCAUUUGUGAAUGUCAUAUAUGGAUUCCAGGAGCUCCACCAUCCUAUCUCCAUGAUAGCACCUGUCAAAAGAUGUCCCCAAAGUGGCCACUCAUAUUGCUUCUAUUUGCAGCCAGGUCUCUAACUAACAAAAUCUGUGCAUGUGUCCACCCAUAACUGCAAAGGGAUCUUGGAAUGAAAGUCCCUUGGACUAGGCUAUCUAGAAAGCAGAGCCUGAGUUAAGGAUUAAAAUGCUGAGACCUCGAGAGGUGUCAAAGAGUAAGGGUGAGGUGAGGAGAAAGCAGAGGUGGGACAAGGUACUGUAAUGCAUUUUUGUGUGGGUUCCUGCUGUAGUAUUAGCUCUGGGUAUGUGUCCAUUGACAGGUUAUAUUUCUCCAGAGCAGUUAAAAGAGGAACUGAUUCAGGGUUGGGGUUGUGGCUCAGUGGUAAAGUGUUUGCCUCACAUGUGUGAGGCACUGGGAUAUAAAUGAAC